UGGAAGACUAGUGAUUUUGUUGUUCUGAUGUGCUACGACAACAAAUCACAGCCGGCCUCA
rnacentral:pre_miRNA from 1 species